CGAACGCUGGCGGCAUGCCUAACACAUGCAAGUCGAACGAGACCUUCGGGUCUAGUGGCGCACGGGUGCGUAACGCGUGGGAACCUGCCCUUAGGUUCGGAAUAACUCCCCGAAAGGGGUGCUAAUACCGGAUAAUGUCUUCGGACCAAAGAUUUAUCGCCUUUGGAUGGGCCCGCGUUGGAUUAGCUAGUUGGUAGGGUAAAAGCCUACCAAGGCGACGAUCCAUAGCUGGUCUGAGAGGAUGAUCAGCCACACUGGGACUGAGACACGGCCCAGACUCCUACGGGAGGCAGCAGUGGGGAAUAUUGGACAAUGGGCGAAAGCCUGAUCCAGCAAUGCCGCGUGAGUGAUGAAGGCCUUAGGGUUGUAAAGCUCUUUUACCCGGGAUGAUAACGACAGUACCGGGAGAAUAAGCUCCGGCUAACUCCGUG
rnacentral:rRNA from 1 species